CAGCAAUGAUGUCGGUGCCUCUGGAAGGAGCAGUAGUGAUAGUGAUGUAUUUGAGGAAGCGCGAGAACAGCAGACUCCACGGAGCCCAGUAUUCCAUCUCAUGAACGAGUCAUCUUUUAUUUCCUCGGAAUUGUACGACUUCUUGCAUUCAUCCCUUCCUAAUAUAGUGAAGGGAUGCCAAUGGGCUUUGUUAUAUAGUACGUUAAAGCAUGGCACAUCACUCCGGACACUUAUUCGCAAGAGUGCAGAUCUUUCCGGUCCCUGUUUGUUGAUUGUUGGUGAUAGACAAGGUGCUAUAUUUGGUGGUCUUCUAGAAUGUCCAUUGAAACCUACACCCAAGAGAAAAUAUCAGGGGACAAACCAGUCAUUUGUAUUUACAACUAUAUAUGGUGAACCAAGGCUAUUUAGACCAACUGGUGCCAACCGAUAUUAUUACAUGUGUUUGAACGACUUACUAGCACUUGGUGGCGGCUGCAACUUUGCUUUGUGCUUGGAUGGAGACCUGUUAAAUGGAACUAGUGGACCUUGUGAAACAUUUGGGAACUUAUGCCUGGCCCACGAACCAGAGUUUGUAUUAAAAAAUGUUGAGCUUUGGGGGUUUACACAUUCAUCAAAAUACCUUUCCUGACACAAGGAGAUGGAAG
rnacentral:misc_RNA from 1 species